rnacentral:rRNA from 1 species
CAGUAGCCACGGUAAUACGAAGGGGGCUAGCGUUGUUCGGAUUUACUGGGCGUAAAGGGUGCGUAGGCGGACUGAUAAGUCAGGGGUGAAAUCCCAAGGCUCAACCUUGGAACUGCCUUUGAUACUGUUAGUCUUGAGUUCGAGAGAGGUGAGUGGAACUGCGAGUGUAGAGGUGAAAUUCGUCAAUAUUCGCAAGAACACCAGUGGCGAAGGCGGCUCACUGGCUCGAAACUGACGCUGAGGCACGAAAGCGUGGGGAGCAAACAGGAUUAGAUACCCCUGUAGUCCCUGUCUCUUAUAC